AGUGAACGCUGGCGGUAGGCCUAACACAUGCAAGUCGAACGGCAGCACAGUAAGAGCUUGCUCUUACGGGUGGCGAGUGGCGGACAGGUGAGGAAUACAUCGGAAUCUACUUUUUCGUGGGGGAUAACGUAGGGAAACUUACGCUAAUACCGCAUACGACCUACGGGUGAAAGCAGGGGAUCUUCGGACCUUGCGCGAUUGAAUGAGCCGAUGUCGGAUUAGCUAGUUGGCGGGGUAAAGGCCCACCAAGGCGACGAUCCGUAGCUGGUCUGAGAGGAUGAUCAGCCACACUGGAACUGAGACACGGUCCAGACUCCUACGGGAGGCAGCAGUGGGGAAUAUUGGACAAUGGGCGCAAGCCUGAUCCAGCCAUACCGCGUGAGUGAAGAAGGCCUUCGGGUUGUAAAGCCCUUUUGUUGGGAAAGAAAAGCAGCAGGUUAAUACCCCGCUGUUCUGACGGUACCCAAAGAAUAAGCACCGGCUAACUUCGUG
rnacentral:rRNA from 1 species